UACGUAGGGUCCAAGCGUUGUCCGGAAUUAUUGGGCGUAAAGAGCUCGUAGGCGGUCUGUUGCGUCGGCUGUGAAAACCCGGGGCUCAACUCCGGGCCUGCAGUCGAUACGGGCAGACUAGAGUUCGGUAGGGGAGACUGGAAUUCCUGGUGUAGCGGUGAAAUGCGCAGAUAUCAGGAGGAACACCGGUGGCGAAGGCGGGUCUCUGGGCCGAAACUGACGCUGAGGAGCGAAAGCGUGGGGAGCGAACAGG
rnacentral:rRNA from 1 species